rnacentral:lncRNA from 1 species
GAGGAGCAUCUCAGCUAAGCAUUAAUUUCAUCAUGGAUGUAACUUCCAGGAAUGUGUUGACCGCGUCACCCACAACAGCGGUGACGUAGAAUUGCGUAACUGCCUUUGACAACAGUUCUCACCCUUAUUUAUAUUUCCACCUCUACCCUCCACUAAUCCUCCCCUCCUCCCACACUUCUCUCUCCACCAUGCACCAAGCCAUUUCCCACAGAAGCUUCAUCCCCAUAGGAGCACGUGGCAUGCCACACGCAGGAGGAAUCAAAGAAUCCAAUGGCACCUAUCCAUCCAAAGCUGCCACAAUGGUAUCGGAGAACGCGGUGGUAAUCAUUGGAAAACGGGGAUGCUGCAUGUGCCACGUGGUAAAAAGGUUGUUACAAGGUCUGGGAGUGAACCCUCCCGUGUACGAGGUGGACGAGGACCACGAAGCCGCCGUUGCUCUCCACCUGUCCCCGCAGGGCGCCGAAACGGUGCAGUUUCCGGCGGUGUUCCUGGCCGGCAAGUUGUUCGGAGGGUUGGAAAGAGUUAUGGCCACUCAUAUCUCAGGUGAAUUGGUUCCCAUCUUGAAGGAUGCUGGUGCCUUGUGGCUCUGAC